GGGGAUAGUUACUGGAAACGGUAGCUAAUACCGCAUAACGUCGCAAGACCAAAGAGGGGGACCUUCGGGCCUCUUGCCAUCGGAUGUGCCCAGAUGGGAUUAGCUUGUUGGUGGGGUAACGGCUCACCAAGGCGACGAUCCCUAGCUGGUCUGAGAGGAUGACCAGCCACACUGGAACUGAGACACGGUCCAGACUCCUACGGGAGGCAGCAGUGGGGAAUAUUGCACAAUGGGCGCAAGCCUGAUGCAGCCAUGCCGCGUGUAUGAAGAAGGCCUUCGGGUUGUAAAGUACUUUCAGCGGGGAGGAAGGGAGUAAAGUUAAUACCUUUGCUCAUUGACGUUACCCGCAGAAGAAGCACCGGCUAACUCCGUGCCAGCAGCCGCGGUAAUACGGAGGGUGCAAGCGUUAAUCGGAAUUACUGGGCGUAAAGCGCACGCAGGCGGUUUGUUAAGUCAGAUGUGAAAUCCCCGGGCUCAACCUGGGAACUGCAUCUGAUACUGGCAAGCUUGAGUCUCGUAGAGGGGGGUAGAAUUCCAGGUGUAGCGGUGAAAUGCGUAGAGAUCUGGAGGAAUACCGGUGGCGAAGGCGGCCCCCUGGACGAAGACUGACGCCCAGGUGCGAAAGCGUGGGGAGCAAACAGGAUUAGAUACCCU
rnacentral:rRNA from 1 species